rnacentral:misc_RNA from 1 species
AACGCACCUUGCGCUCCUUGGUAUUCUGAGGAGCAUGCCUGUUUGAGUGUCAUUAAUAUAUCAAUCUCUUCAGCUUUUGCUUGUUGAGUUUUUGGAUGUGGGGGUUUUGCUGGCCUCUUUCCUGAGGUUGGCUCUCCUAAAAUGCAUUAGCGGAACAACAGUUGACCGUUCAUUGGUGUGAUAAUUAUCUACGCUAUUUAACGGGAAGCAUGUUUAGCUUACAACAGUCCAUUGACUUGGACAAAUUUUUAUUAAUGUGACCUCAAAUCAGGUAGGACUACCCGCUGAACUUAA